rnacentral:rRNA from 1 species
GACGAACGCUGGCGGCGUGCUUAACACAUGCAAGUCGAACGGAAAGGCCCUUCCUUUGUCGGGUACUCGAGUGGCGAACGGGUGAGUAACACGUGAGUGACCUGCCUUUCACUCUGGGAUAACCUUGGGAAACUGGGUCUAAUACCGGAUAUGAACUCCCUCUGCUUGGUGGGGUGGGAAGUUUUUCCGCGGUUGGAGAUGGGCUCGCGGCUUAUCAGCUUGUUGGUGGGGUAGUGGCUUACCAAGGCCUUGACGGGUAGCCGGCCUGAGAGGGUGCACGGCCACAUUGGGACUGAGAUACGGCCCAGACUCCUACGGGAGGCAGCAGUGGGGAAUAUUGCACAAUGGGCGGAAGCCUGAUGCAGCGACGCCGCGUGGGGGAUGACGGCCUUCGGGUUGUAAACUGCUUUCGACAGGGACGAAGCGUAAGUGACGGUAACUGGAUAAGAAGCACCGGCUAACUACGUG